GGAGAGCAAGGCGUAAAGCCGAGGUGCGAGAAAUGCGAUUUCAUCCAGCUUUCUCUUGCAUGUCUGGGACACCGUACCGAUCACCUCGGCCUUCACGGGACCGAAACGAAUAUAGAAUCAAUCGUGAAAGCUCCGAGCACUCGCAGCUUGAGCACCCUACAAUUGACUGUAAGCGUUGCUUUUUACCUGUCUCGUUCCCAGGCGUGCACGGGCGCUCCGUUCUGGUCAUGGCCUAGCUACCGGCCAUGGCUAUGCUACAACGGUUUUCUCAUUUCUUUAUUUAGUGUCUCUGUAGACGGUAGAGCUAUGCCCUCAGAAUCUUAAUCAAGGUACACAGGAUCAAACAGGAUGACAAAACGGUUGACGAUGUCUGUGGGCUGACCAAUUGCAUGAGCAACAAAGCCUCCUCCAUGCCCUCUUUGGCGGCAUAAUGUCAAAUGGAUUUACACUGAGCGACUUGUAUUUCACAAUACGGCCAGAAGGAGACCCGCCGACCAGUACACUGUACCGCUUCAACUUGACGAAAGGAAAGUUACACAAUAUUGGGCACCUGCUCACACCCAAAUACGAU